GUGUCAUUGUUCAGGCAGCACAUAUAAUAAAUUGGAAUUGAUACAGGGAAGAUUAGCAUGGCCUCUGCGAAAGCAUGACAUGCAAAUUCGUGGAACGUUUUCACAUUUUU